GCCCCGAGCCCCCGGCGGCCCGGAUGACGCCCGGCCGCCCGCGGUUCCACGGACGCCUGCAACCGCUGCCCCCUGCUCGUCCCCUCCCUGGAAACGGUGUCAUUCGACCUCCUCCUUCCUGGAGGACUCGUCCCGAAUCACUCCACCAGGUUAAAGGACUACUUCUCAGAGAGUGCUGACCACACAAACUGAGGAAGCCUCAUGCUCGUUACAGCAACAUCAGGCUGCACAGUGCAGUGAAAAUAGCAUGGUCAGAGGAAGGCGGACCCUGACCCUGAUUCCAUGACUCACCGCCUGUCACCUUGGAAAAGACGGAGAAUCUUCCUUCUGUUCCCAAAGGAAGUCCAUGGGGACAUACCAUGAAUAAAUGGUAUGGACGGCCGAAAAGCAACCUAAAAAUCAUGAUGGAGGGAUCGGACAUGGAAGCAAAGGAAUAAAUGGAAUGGUGCUUUGACAGUGGGGACCUGAAAGAGGAUUUUACCUCCAUUUUGACCUAUCUUUUAAACAAGAUAAUGAUCAACCUGAUCUUUACUGCCAACCUGCAUGUGCCCACCAACCUGUGUCCCAUACUCCUCUUACAUAAACUUGGAAGUAUUUUCAGCACUUUGAGAUAGUCUUUGAGAUGUUAGUUCACGGUCUUCCCAGUACU